rnacentral:rRNA from 1 species
UACGAAGGGGUGCAAGCGUUUACUCGGAACUACUGGGCGUAAAGCGCGUGUAGGCGGCUUUGCAAGUCGGGUGUGAAAUCCCACGGCUCAACCGUGGAAGUGCACUCGAAACUGCAGGGCUAGAGUCCUGGAGAGGAAGGUGGAAUGCUUGGUGUAGAGGUGAAAUUCGUAGAUAUCAAGCGGAACACCGUGGCGAAGGCGGCCUUCUGGGACGAUGACUGACGCUGAGACGCGAAAGCAUGGGGAGCGAACAGG